CCUACGGGGGGCUGCAGUGGGGAAUAUUGGGCAAUGGGCGCAAGCCUGACCCAGCAACGCAGCGUGAAGGAAGACGGCCCUCGGGUUGUAAACUUCUUUUAUUCGGGACGAAACAAAUGACGGUACCGAAUGAAUAAGCCACGGCUAACUACGUGCCCGCAGCCGCGGCAAUACGGAGGUGGCAAGCGUUAUCCGGGUUUACUGGGUUUAAAGGGCGUGUAGGCGGGAGAGCAAGUCAGACGUGAAAUGCCAGGGCUCAACCCUGGCACUGCGGUUGAAACUGUUCUUCUUGAGUGAUUGGGAGGCAGGCGGAAUUCGGGGUGUAGCGGUGAAAUGCGUAGAUAUACGGAGGAACACCAGUGGCGAAGGCGGCCUGCUGGAGAGUAACUGACGCUGAGGCGCGAAAGCGUGGGGAGCAAACAGGAUUAGAUACCCGGGUAGUC
rnacentral:rRNA from 1 species